AUUGAACGCUGGCGGCAUGCCUUACACAUGCCAGUCGAACGGCAGCACGGGUGCUUGCACCUGGUGGCGAGUGGCGAACGGGUGAGUAAUACAUCGGAACAUGUCCCGUAGUGGGGGAUAGCCCGGCGAAAGCCGGAUUAAUACCGCAUACGAUCUACGUAUGAAAGCGGGGGACCUUCGGGCCUCGCGCUAUAGGGUUGGCCGAUGGCUGAUUAGCUAGUUGGUGGGGUAAAGGCCUACCAAGGCGACGAUCAGUAGCUGGUCUGAGAGGACGACCAGCCACACUGGGACUGAGACACGGCCCAGACUCCUACGGGAGGCAGCAGUGGGGAAUUUUGGACAAUGGGCGAAAGCCUGAUCCAGCAAUGCCGCGUGUGUGAAGAAGGCCUUCGGGUUGUAAAGCACUUUUGUCCGGAAAGAAAUACUUGGCCCUAAUACGGUCGGGGGAUGACGGUACCGGAAGAAUAAGCACCGGCUAACUACGUG
rnacentral:rRNA from 1 species